CUCAACUUGCAGCUCCCAUAGUUCCCACACCCUGUGAAAGGGAUCCAAUCGGAGAUAAUUUAUCACAGGGGUGGGUCUUUCCUGUGCUCUUCUCAUGAUAGCAAAUGAAUCUCACAAGAUCUGAUGAUUUAAAAAAUGUGAGUUUCUCUGCACAGCUCUCUCUUUGCCUGCUUCCAUCUCUAUAAGCAGUGACUUGCUCCUCCUUGCCUUCCACCCUGAUUGUGAGGCUUCUCCAGCCACAUGGAACCGGCAAAGCACUUCAACUCUUUUUACGUGGAGGAUAAAUGUAUCAGCGCGGGUUGGGAAGGUGCUGGUAAGCUGUACUGGUCUCCACGAGACUUAGAGUCUCCUGCGAUUACUGACUGCCUCAUGAUCACAGAUUCAUCACAUUGUCACAGCGCAAUUCAUCACCAAGACUGAGCAACUACUAUCCAUAUGGUAUCGGAAAGUAAACAGUGAGACUGGUCAUAAGCCUCUUUUCUCUCCUAAUCAGUGCUACUCACCAAUUAAAAAAAGACAUUCUUUUUUGUGGUCCAUACUCCUGAAGGCCAAAAGCACCCAGUGGACAGACGACGGCUCUUACGCCUCCCAUGCCAAGGCAGAUGGUCAACAGUGCUACGUAAAACAGACUGUGCUGCUGCGUUUUGGGGAUGCUGUUAACAACGUGGUAUGUGCCCAGAUAGAAAUCUUCCAAGGGGAAAGCCACCACGGAUAAUAAAGCAGUGCCUGUAGGUAGAGAAAAAAGAAUAAAUAUGGCACAGCACAACUGGAUCGCCGAAUCACAUUAUACACAGGGCUUCUCCUCUGACAGCAGCAUCAUGUGUUGGGAUUUCCGUCUUGUCUGAUGACUGACCUCAGAAUUUAGACUGACAGAAACUACCACGUUAAACAAGAAGUCACCAAAUGUUACUGGUGUGGGCUGUUACCAAGGUAAGCAGAGUAAAUGAGUCUGGGGUUCGCUUAAAUGUUUUCUCAUCAGAAAGCUUUCUCUCAGCACCAAGUAGCAGCCCCGUCACUGUCCAUUCCAUCCCGU